rnacentral:ncRNA from 1 species
UCGCUCAAGUUUAUCGCAUGUACCGAGCCAUAUCGGCUCAGGAAACUGGUGAAAAUCCAGUACUGCCCCCGCAACGGUAACGAUGAAACCCCUAUUAUCUCAGCCCAAAACUGACGCCACUGCAUCAUAAACCAUGUGGGAAGGUGAAUAGGUGAUCAUGUCAGAAGAUGAUAUUUUGCCAUGAAUAUCUCCAAGUCCGGAAACCUGCAUGCUGUAUUGAUCCACC